UACUCUGUUUCGCUCUAGAUGAAGAGAGAGAAGGGCUUUUGGGAAUCGUAGAAUUUCUACCGCUCUCAGAUCAUUUCUAUGGCUGCCAAGGCGUAGCCUCCUCGAGUAAAACCUCUGUUUUCUUCUCGGGCUGCCAAAAAGUAGCCUUCUGGCGUCUCAUCCACCAUUUACUGCUGUUGGAGUGUGCAGAAUGGCAGACAUCAUCUCAUCCCUUGUUGAUUAGGCGCACGCCUAAUUGUUUGAAAGCAAAGCAAUUUGUGUUUUUGAACUCGUUGAUGAAGAUAUAUCUGUGGAUUUGCACAUAAGAUGAUGAGUGCUCAAGGGAUUAAUUAAUAUAUGCAGACUACCCAAAAGCAAAGGAGUUUAAUUAAUUACUGGCCUUGUACUACAUAUAAAUGGAUAAGAUCCAUGCAUACUAUGUAGAACUAUAUUGCAUAAGAUGAGAUUUACAAUUGUAUUGCAUUUUUCUUUUCUGAAAUAAAAUUUGGUGUAGUUAACAAUCGCACACAA